rnacentral:rRNA from 1 species
UACAGAGGUCUCAAGCGUUGUUCGGAUUUACUGGGCGUAAAGGGCGCGUAGGCGGCGUAACAAGUCACUUGUGAAAUCUCCGGGCUUAACUCGGAAAGGUCAACCGAUACUGUGCGGCUAGAGUGCGGAAGGGGCAACUGGAAUUCUCGGUGUAGCGGUGAAAUGCGUAGAUAUCGAGAGGAACACCUGCGGCGAAGGCGGGUUGCUGGGCCGACACUGACGCUGAUGCGCGAAAGCCAGGGGAGCGAACGGG